CCUACAUCGGCUACUAACAAUCUACCUGAGCAGGCUGCAAAAUAACUAAUAAAGGGACCCCAUGGUUGUUCGCUUAUUUGGAUUGCGAAUUCUUUGAAAAGAAGAGGGAACUUCUCAUCAAAGGAACUGCAAGGGCCAACUCUCUUGUGACCGGUGACCUGACGGAGCCCUUUUUGGCGUGAACCGGUAACCUUAUGGUGCUAACUAGGAUGCAUGCUUUGCUGCCUCUUUUACAGAGGUUGUUCAUGUUAUCUUAGAUGCCACCGAGAUGUACCGUUGUGCUUUCAUGAAAGAAAAUGCAGAUGGGAACGAGGGUGCGCGGUGGUGAGGCAUCAGCACCGGAGACGCAGGUCCGUGGCAGAGCGGGAUAGGUGACAAGGACGACCUGUGACUCCUCAUGGCAAAGGUCUUGCUCGCUGUUGGUUCUAACAUCAUCGUCUACCAGACAGAUGCUGGCCAGUUAAGGUUUGUUGCAAAUAAUAGUGGAUGUUGGGCUGCCUCCACACCGCAAGAGAUGGAGAUGGUUGACGUCGGAACCGGUGGUUGAGGUCGAGUACGCCUCGUUGUUGUCGCCGUCUACAUCCGUUACGUGUGAGGAACUUGCUGAUGCCGGCACCAGAUUCAGCAGGGAGGAUAUCUAUGAGGCCUUUCAUUCUUGUGGGAUUCCCACACAUCUUGCAAGUUCAAGGGGGUGAGCUCAGCUGAAUGCGCGGCGACGUUUUUUUUUUGUUUACUUUUGCAUAUUGCUGCUUUGAUUAAUAUUCCACCCAAAGAAUAAUGUUUUUAUAUCUCUAAUUUCUACUUUGGAGCAAUGGAUAGUUGUGCUUUAGUUCCUCUAGCUUUUUUUUUUGAAGAUGUAGUUCCUCUAGCCUUUUGUAGAAACUAGGUACCUCCUGUACUUAGGUAUAUAUAAGUCUUUUGUAGAAACUAUUGUUAAUAUCUCAAAAAUAAGAAUGUUACCUUUUCCUUUACUUGUGUACUUGGAACCAAAUUGUUCCUUACCAGUUGU